GGUUUCCAAUAAAAUGGCGAAGCAGUUUGACUUCCUCGUUUCACGCUUCAGAGAAACUUCACCAACCAAAUAAUUAGGAUGGCGUGUGGUUGAAGCAUAUGUUUUAAGGAUAAUACCAUGCCAUACCAAGACAAACAAGGAAGGACUUGUGGAUUUCUAAACAUCCUUGAAAAAGAGUCCUCUACCAACUCGAAGAGGAGAUACUUUGUUCUUGAACCUCGUGAUGAGUUGUUGAAAUACUAUCUUGAUAACCCUAAUAAUUUGGCUUCAGAUCAACAAUACCCAUGUGGGGAAAUCAGUACUACUGUUAUAUCAAAGGUUAGUGAAGUUUCCAAGAAACAGAAACCCAAACUGAAUUCCUGCUUUGUGAUUAAUCAUGCAGGCAAAGCGUUAUAUCUACAAGCAGAGUCUGCUGAAGAUAUGCAUGGAUGGGUGUAUGCCUUGAAUAACGUCAGUAAAAUAACAGUAAGUGUCCGACAACAGUAGGCAUCAACGUUCAAUGUUUAAAUGGAAAAUUUUGUUUCAACAAUGAUAGUAUGUGUUGGUAAUUACAGGUAACUCUUAAUGGCUCAAAAUUCGUUCGCUCAAAGUUCUUGUUCGCUGGAAGUGAGUGUCCAGUCCUAAUAUUUUUCCCUGUAUAACUAAGCAAAUUUACUCUUGAUUUCUUGAACUCUUGAAGUCAAACUGCAGUCUCGUUAUUAUUAAUCUAUUGUUUUUUACUCUCGAUACCUCAAAGUGGCCAUGUAUAAGCAAGAAUUACCCAAUUGACAUCUUUACUUGGUCAUUUAAAUGGCUCCAGGCGUUAGAUGCAUGACCCAUGUAACGGGAUGUUUAUUCAGGUGACACUUGUCCUGCAAGUUGAUAAAUGAUUGAUUAUAGGACUUGCCGUUCUCUAAUCUAUAAUUAAUACUGGCUGUCUUAUGAUAGUCUGGAGACUCAGUGAAAAGGAGAAAUUAAUUAUGAGACGAGAGGAUAAUUUUGAGCCAUAGUCAAGGUUAAAUGAAUUACAAAAGUGUAGAAAUUAUGUUUAUCAGCAUCAUUGUCAUUAUGAAGAUUAUUGCUGAACACUACAGAAUAGAACAGUUCUUACAGAACUGAGCAGUACCCCCGAGUAAUCUGGAGAAGAAUCUGUACAGUGGGUAAUACAUGGACUCAGUUAUCUGUUUUACGACAAGUUGCCUCGCAGUGCAGUAGUUUUGAGCAAUCUGGUCAUAAUAUGAUGCAUAAAAUAAAUAAAUAUCAUGAUUUUAUUCAAUAUUUGUUUCUAUUAAGUUUUUAAAACACCCAGAUCUGUAUAUAUAACUGACAACAACAUUGUUAAAGCACAUGCAUAAGCAUAUGCACUAAAAUAAAUGGCUUAAUCAUCACAUUUUGUAUAAACACUAACUUUAAAACCUGUCUGUCAACCCGGAAAAUUCCAAACUCUUAAAAACUCAAACUUUUGAUCCCUCAAAGUUUAACCUUGAUCUAAUGUACUGGUACUUGGAAUCAUCGAGAGUCACCUGUACAUUAAUAAAAAAGGGAUCUACAAUUAUGUUUAAAUUUCACAAUUUUUGUUUCAGGUUCCUGUAGAGGAAUCCAAGCAUCAAAAUGACCCUGAAGCCGGCUACAAGACAGAGAUUGCUGGAGGAGUUCCCAUCAAAAUUCCAAUUAGGGUAUUCAAUUUUUGUUACCAUGUUUGGUGCAGUGGUCAGGA
rnacentral:misc_RNA from 1 species